CGAGGGGCAUCAGUUUGGUUUGCUUGCAAACCAAAGCUGGCGACCGGCGCACGGGUGAGUAACACGUAUCCAACCUGCCUCAUACUCGGGGAUAGCCUUUCGAAAGAAAGAUUAAUAUCCGAUAGCAUAUAUUUCCCGCAUGGGUUUUAUAUUAAAGAAAUUCGGUAUGAGAUGGGGAUGCGUUCCAUUAGUUUGUUGGGGGGGUAACGGCCCACCAAGACUACGAUGGAUAGGGGUUCUGAGAGGAAGGUCCCCCACAUUGGAACUGAGACACGGUCCAAACUCCUACGGGAGGCAGCAGUGAGGAAUAUUGGUCAAUGGACGCGAGUCUGAACCAGCCAAGUAGCGUGAAGGAUGACUGCCCUAUGGGUUGUAAACUUCUUUUAUAUGGGAAUAAAGUGGUCCACGUGUGGACUUUUGUAUGUACCAUAUGAAUAAGGAUCGGCUAACUCCGUGCCAGCAGCCGCGGUAAUACGGAGGAUCCGAGCGUUAUCCGGAUUUAUUGGGUUUAAAGGGAGCGUAGGCGGAUUGUUAAGUCAGUUGUGAAAGUUUGCGGCUCAACCGUAA
rnacentral:rRNA from 1 species